rnacentral:rRNA from 1 species
GUAGUCCACGCUGUAAACGAUGAAUACUAGGUGUGGGGGGUCUGACCCCUUCCGUGCCGCAGCUAACGCAAUAAGUAUUCCACCUGGGGAGUACGGCCGCAAGGCUGAAACUCAAAGGAAUUGACGGGGGCCCGCACAAGCAGUGGAUUAUGUGGUUUAAUUCGAAGCAACGCGAAGAACCUUACCAGGUCUUGACAUCCCUUGAAUAACCUAGAGAUAGGUGAAGCCCUUCGGGGCAAGGAGACAGGUGGUGCAUGGUUGUCGUCAGCUCGUGUCGUGAGAUGUUGGGUUAAGUCCCGCAACGAGCGCAACCCUUACGGUUAGUUGCUACGAAAGAGCACUCUAACAGGACUGCCGUUGACAAAACGGA